UACGUAGGGACCAAGCGUUGUUCGGAUUUACUGGGCGUAAAGGGCGCGUAGGCGGCGUGACAAGUCACUUGUGAAAUCUCCGGGCUUAACUCGGAACGGCCAAGUGAUACUGUCGUGCUAGAGUGCAGAAGGGGCAAUCGGAAUUCUUGGUGUAGCGGUGAAAUGCGUAGAUAUCAAGAGGAACACCUGAGGUGAAGACGGGUUGCUGGGCUGACACAUGACGCUGGAGGCGACGAAAGCUAGGGGAGCGAACGGG
rnacentral:rRNA from 1 species